AGAUGAGGAAGAGGAGCGGAAACAAGAGAAUCAGCGGCGAUCCUCCGGCCUUCCUCCAGGUGUCCACGGGGGGGAGCCAGGAAGAUGUGAAGCCCCCAGCCAGCACCCAUUUUUGUCAUCAGCCAAGCCUCUCUCCAGCCUGACCCCUGUGAUCACUGCAGUGAAGCAACUGAGGGAGCAGCGGAGGAGAUGAAGCACUUGAGGACAGCCUUUAGUUACAAUAGUUAGGACAACUAGUUAGUUAUGGUAGUUAGCACUGGUAGUUAUUUAUGGUAGUUAGCAUUGCUAGUUGGUUAUGGUAGUUAGGACAGCCUGUUUGUUAUGGCAGUUUUUGGAAUAAAAACUCUCUCAAACCUCAA